rnacentral:rRNA from 1 species
ACACUGCCGAGAAAAGCCUCUAGAUAGAAAAUAGGUGCCCGUACCGCAAACCGACACAGGUAGUCAAGAUGAGAAUUCUAAGGUGAGCGAGCGAACUCUCGUUAAGGAACUCGGCAAAAUGACCCCGUAACUUCGGGAGAAGGGGUGCUCUUUAGGGUUAACGCCCAGAAGAGCCGCAGUGAAUAGGCCCAAGCGACUGUUUAUCAAAAACACAGGUCUCUGCUAAACCGUAAGGUGAUGUAUAGGGGCUGACGCCUGCCCGGUGCUGGAAGGUUAAGAGGAGUGGUUAGCUUCUGCGAAGCUACGAAUCGAAGCCCCAGUAAACGGCGGCCGUAACUAUAACGGUCCUAAGGUAGCGAAAUUCCUUGUCGGGUAAGUUCCGACCCGCACGAAAGGCGUAACGAUUUGGGCACU